GACGAACGCUGGCGGCGUGCUUAACACAUGCAAGUCAAGGGGGGGUGGGUAGCAAUACCUACUCAACCGGCGAACGGGUGCGUAACACGUGAGCAACCUGCCGAGGCGAGGGGGAGUAGCCGGCCCAACGGCCGGGUAAUACCGCAUACGCUCGGAUCGGGGAGUCCCGGACCGAGGAAACCUGGGGGGGCAACCCUUUGGGGCGCAUCGAGGGGCUCGCGGCCUAUCAGCUAGUUGGCGGGGUAAUGGCCCACCAAGGCGGUGACGGGUAGCUGGUCUGAGAGGAUGGCCAGCCACAUUGGGACUGAGAGACGGCCCAGACUCCUACGGGAGGCAGCAGUGGGGAAUCUUGCGCAAUGGCCUGACGGCUGACGCAGCGACGCCGCGUGUGGGAGGACCGCCCC
rnacentral:rRNA from 1 species